GCCUGGGUAGCUUAGCUGGUUAGAGUGUGGUGCUGAUAAUACCAAUGUUGUAGGUUUGAUUCCCGUAUGAGACA